rnacentral:rRNA from 1 species
ACGGAAGGCAGCAGUGGGGAAUAUUGCACAAUGGGGGAAACCCUGAUGCAGCGACGCCGCGUGAGUGAAGAAGUUAUUCGUAAUGUAAAGCUCUAUCAGCAGGGAAGAAAAUGACGGUACCUGACUAAGAAGCCCCGGCUAACUACGUGCCAGCAGCCGCGGUAAUACGUAGGGGGCAAGCGUUAUCCGGAUUUACUGGGUGUAAAGGGAGCGUAGACGGUCUGGCAAGUCUGAUGUGAAAGGCAGGGGCUCAACUCCUGGACUGCAUUGGAAACUGUCAGUCUUGAGUGCCGGAGAGGUAAGCGGAAUUCCUAGUGUAGCGGUGAAAUGCGUAGAUAUUAGGAGGAACACCAGUGGCGAAGGCGGCCUACUGGACAGUAACUGACGUUGAGGCUCGAAAGCGUGGGGAGCAAACAGGAUUAGAUACCCUGGUA